rnacentral:rRNA from 1 species
AACGAACGCUGGCGGCAGGCCUAACACAUGCAAGUCGAGCGAGGACUUCGGUUCUAGCGGCGGACGGGUGAGUAACGCGUGGGAAUGUGCCCUUCUCUACGGAAUAGCCCUGGGAAACUGGUAGUAAUACCGUAUACGCCCUAUUGGGGAAAGAUUUAUCGGAGAAGGAUCAGCCCGCGUUGGAUUAGGUAGUUGGUGGGGUAAUGGCCUACCAAGCCGACGAUCCAUAGCUGGUUUGAGAGGAUGAUCAGCCACACUGGGACUGAGACACGGCCCAGACUCCUACGGGAGGCAGCAGUGGGGAAUCUUAGACAAUGGGGGCAACCCUGAUAUAGCCAUGCCGCGUGAGUGAUGAAGGCCUUAGGGAUGUAAAGCUCUAUCAGCUGGGAAGAUAAUGACGGUACCAGCAGAAGAAGCCCCGGCUAACUCCGUG